AGUGAACGCUGGCGGUAGGCCUAACACAUGCAAGUCGAACGGCAGCACAGGAGAGCUUGCUCUCUGGGUGGCGAGUGGCGGACGGGUGAGGAAUACAUCGGAAUCUACUCUGUCGUGGGGGAUAACGUAGGGAAACUUACGCUAAUACCGCAUACGACCUACGGGUGAAAGCAGGGGACCUUCGGCCCUUGCGCGAUUGAAUGAGCCGAUGUCGGAUUAGCUAGUUGGCGGGGUAAAGGCCCACCAAGGCGACGAUCCGUAGCUGGUCUGAGAGGAUGAUCAGCCAGACUGGAACUGAGACACGGUCCAGACUCCUACGGGAGGCAGCAGUGGGGAAUAUUGGACAAUGGGCGCAAGCCUGAUCCAGCCAUACCGCGUGGGUGAAGAAGGCCUUCGGGUUGUAAAGCCCUUUUGUUGGGAAAGAAAUCCAGCUGGCUAAUACCCGGUUGGGAUGACGGUACCCAAAGAAUAGGCACCGGCUAACUUCGUGCCAGCCGCCGCAGUAA
rnacentral:rRNA from 1 species